UACGAGGGGUGCAAGCGUUGCUCGGAAUUAUUGGGCGUAAAGGGUAUGUAGGUGGUCUCAUUUGUCCGGGGUGAAAGCCUUGAGCUUAACUCAAGAAGUGCCUCGGAAACGGUGAGACUAGAGUCUUGGAGAGGGUCGUGGAAUUCCCGGUGUAGCGGUGAAAUGCGUAGAGAUCGGGAAGAACACCCGUGGCGAAGGCGACGUGCUGGGCUGUUUCUGACGCUGAGAUGCGAAAGUGUGGGGAGCAAACGGG
rnacentral:rRNA from 1 species